rnacentral:rRNA from 1 species
GACGAACGCUGGCGGCGUGCUUAACACAUGCAGGUCGAACGGAAAGGCCCUGCUUUUGUGGGGUGCUCGAGUGGCGAACGGGUGAGUAACACGUGAGUAACCUGCCCUUGACUUUGGGAUAACUUCAGGAAACUGGGGCUAAUACCGGAUAGGAGCUCCUGCUGCAUGGUGGGGGUUGGAAAGUUUCGGCGGUUGGGGAUGGACUCGCGGCUUAUCAGCUUGUUGGUGGGGUAGUGGCUUACCAAGGCUUUGACGGGUAGCCGGCCUGAGAGGGUGACCGGCCACAUUGGGACUGAGAUACGGCCCAGACUCCUACGGGAGGCAGCAGUGGGGAAUAUUGCACAAUGGGCGGAAGCCUGAUGCAGCAACGCCGCGUGCGGGAUGACGGCCUUCGGGUUGGAAACCGCUUUCGCCUGUGACGAAGCGUGAGGGACGGUAAUGGGUAAAGAAGCACCGGCUAACUACGUG